UACGUAGGCAGCAAGCGUUGUCCGGAGUUACUGGGCGUAAAGAGUGCGUAGGCGGUCCUGUAAGUUUGGUGUGAAAUCUCCCGGCUCAACUGGGAGGGUGCGCCGAAGACUGCAGGGCUUGAGUAUGGGAGAGGUAAGCGGAAUUCCUGGUGUAGCGGUGAAAUGCGUAGAUAUCAGGAGGAACACCUGUGGUGUAGACAGCUUACUGGACCAUCACUGACGCUGAGGCACGAAAGCGUGGGUAGCAAACAGG
rnacentral:rRNA from 1 species